rnacentral:rRNA from 1 species
AGACGAUGAGGUUGAUAGGUCCGAGGUGGAAGCAUGGCAACAUGUGCAGCUGACGGAUACUAAUCGAUCGAGGACUUAACUAA